rnacentral:rRNA from 1 species
AACGAACGCUGGCGGCAUGCCUAACACAUGCAAGUCGAACGAGACCUUCGGGUCUAGUGGCGCACGGGUGCGUAACGCGUGGGAACCUGCCCUUAGGUUCGGAAUAACUCCCCGAAAGGGGUGCUAAUACCGGAUAAUUUCUUCGGACCAAAGAUUUAUCGCCUUUGGAUGGGCCCGCGUUGGAUUAGCUAGUUGGUAGGGUAAAAGCCUACCAAGGCGACGAUCCAUAGCUGGUCUGAGAGGAUGAUCAGCCACACUGGGACUGAGACACGGCCCAGACUCCUACGGGAGGCAGCAGUGGGGAAUAUUGGACAAUGGGGGAAAGCCUGAUCCAGCAAGGCCGCGUGAGUGAUGAAGGCCUUAGGGUUGUAAAGCUCUUUUACCCGGGAUGAUAAUGACAGUACCGGGAGAAUAAGCACCGGCUAACUCCGUG